rnacentral:tRNA from 1 species
GUCCAGGGAUGGGAAACGAACCCACGACCUUCCGCUUACCGGGCAGAUGCCAUGUCCACUAGGCUACCCUGGA